rnacentral:rRNA from 1 species
UGAGACACGGACCAGACUCCUACGGGAGGCAGCAGUGAGGAAUAUUGGUCAAUGGGCGAGAGCCUGAACCAGCCAAGUCGCGUGAAGGAUGAAAGAUCUAUGGUUUGUAAACUUCUUUUAUAUGGGAAUAAAGUGAGGAACGUGUUCCUUUUUGUAUGUACCAUAUGAAUAAGCAUCGGCUAACUCCGUGCCAGCAGCCGCGGUAAUACGGAGGAUGCGAGCGUUAUCCGGAUUUAUUGGGUUUAAAGGGUGCGUAGGUGGUUAAUUAAGUCAGCGGUGAAAGUUUGUGGCUCAACCAUAAAAUUGCCGUUGAAACUGGUUGACUUGAGUAUAUUUGAGGUAGGCGGAAUGCGUGGUGUAGCGGUGAAAUGCAUAGAUAUCACGCAGAACUCCGAUUGCGAAGGCAGCUUACUAAACUAUAACUGACACUGAAGCACGAAAGCGUGGGGAUCAAACAGGAUUAGAUACCCUGGUAGUCCACGCAGUAAAAGAUGAUUACUAGCUGUUUGCGAUACACAGUAA